GCUGGGCGUGGUGGUGCGCGCCUGUAAUCCCAGAUACUCAGGAGGCUGAGGCAGGAGAAUCACUUGAACCCGGGAGGUGGAGACUGCAGUGAGCCAAGAUCAGGCUACUACACUCCUGCCUGGGUGAGAGAGUGAGACUCUGUCUCAA
rnacentral:SRP_RNA from 1 species